UACAGAGGUCCCAAGCGUUGUUCGGAUUCACUGGGCGUAAAGGGUGCGUAGGCGGUCGGGUAAGUCUGAUGUGAAAUCUCACAGCUUAACUGUGAAACUGCAUUGGAUACUAUCCGGCUCGAGGAAUGGAGGGGAGACUGGAAUACUUGGUGUAGCAGUGAAAUGCGUAGAUAUCAAGUGGAACACCAGUGGCGAAGGCGAGUCUCUGGACAUUUCCUGACGCUGAGGCACGAAGGCUAGGGGAGCAAACGGG
rnacentral:rRNA from 1 species